rnacentral:rRNA from 1 species
AUUGAACGCUGGCGGCAGGCCUAACACAUGCAAGUCGAACGAGUGGCGGACGGGUGAGUACUGUCUGGGAAACUGCCUGAUGGAGGGGGAUAACUACUGGAAACGGUAGCUAAUACCGCAUACCAUCAGAUGUGCCCAGAUGGGAUUAGCUAGUUGGUGGGGUAACGGCUCACCAAGGCGACGAUCCCUAGCUGGUCUGAGAGGAUGACCAGCCACACUGGAACUGAAACACGGUCCAGACUCCUACGGGAGGCAGCAGUGGGGAAAUUUGCACAAUGGGGACAAUCCUGAUGCAGCCAUGCCGCGUGUAUGAAGAAGGCCUUCGGGUUGUAAAGGACUUUCAGCGGAGAGGCGUUACCCGCAAAAGAAGCACCGGCUAACUCCGUGCCAGCCGCCGCGGUAAUAC